GUACUAAUGAAGAGUCUCAAAAUAAGACGAAACAGAUGUCCAGUAC
rnacentral:hammerhead_ribozyme from 1 species